GUGAGCAUUAUGCCAUUGAAUAUGGAGGAGUUUGAAGCUGUGGGUGGUGAAGUUGCUUUUUGUUUGAAACAGAGACUGGUGAUGUAAAGUCCCUCGGCAUCUCUGUCAUGGUUCCUUCCUGUGACAUCAUCGUGCUAUCCUCAUAGGGUAUGAGAGCUGUGAACAUUCAGCCUUCAUCUUGGGAUUGCUGUCAACUUUGUAGCUAUAUGAAUGUUGUACAUCCUACUGGCAUCUGAGUCGCCAUCCACCAGCCAGCUUCACAGAUGCAUUCAAUCUGCUUAGGAAAAGGCUCCUGCACAGGGUGAAUUUUCAUAGUAGGAAGAAUCAGCCAGAGACCUGACCCCAACCUGAUUUGUUGGAAGCUGCAGGUUGAGAGACUAUCCUGGAGUCCCACUUGAUGACAUCUGUCACUAUUCCCAGCCCAGAUAUUGUUUUUGAAUCAAACAGAUAUGCUAAUUAUUA